CAGGAACUCUGCUCCAGCCAAGCACCCCGCUAGAUACUUGACAGACUUUUUCCACUUAAUUCUCACAACAGUUAUCUGAGAGUAAAUAAGAUGUGGCAGAGUGAUAAGGAUACUCCUAAAGUCUACCUUGGUGAACUUCCUAAGUUUCAUACACUCAUAUUUGCAGGCUCACUGCAGCUUAGAAAUGGCACAAAAUCCACAGAAGACAUACCCAUACCCAUGCACAUGAUGAAAGUGGCUUUGCUUGACAAAAAAAAAAAAAAAAGAAAGAAAAAAAAGAAAAAAGAAAAAGAAAGAAGAAGAAAAAGAAACAAACAAAAAUUUCCUCCUUAA
ensembl:lncRNA